rnacentral:rRNA from 1 species
AGUGAACGCUGGCGGUAUGCCUAACACAUGCAAGUCGAACGGCAGCACAGUAAGAGCUUGCUCUUACGGGUGGCGAGUGGCGGACGGGUGAGGAAUACAUCGGAAUCUACUUUUUCGUGGGGGAUAACGUAGGGAAACUUACGCUAAUACCGCAUACGACCUACGGGUGAAAGCAUGGGAUCUUCGGACCUUGCGCGAUUUAAUGAGCCGCUUUCGGAUUAGCUAGUUGGCUGGGUAAAGGCCCACCAAUGCGACGAUCCGUAGCUGGACUGAGAGGAUGAUAAGCAACAAUGGAACUGAGACACGAGCCAGAGUCCUAAGGGAGGCAGCAGAGGGGAAUAUGGGACAAUAGGGGGAAGCAUGAUCCAGUGAGACCGCGUGGGUGAAGAAGGCCUUCGGGUUGUAAAGCCCUUCUGUGGGGAAAGAAAAGCAGCAGGUUAAUACCCAGCUGUUCUGACGGUACCAAAAGAAUAAGCACCGGCUAACUUCGUG